rnacentral:rRNA from 1 species
GGGAAUGCCAUGGGCGCAGCCUGAUGCAGCCAUGCCGCGUGUAUGAAGAAGGCCUUCGGGUUGUAAAGUACUUUCAGCGGGGAGGAAGGGAGUAAAGUUAAUACCUUUGCUCAUUGACGUUACCCGCAGAAGAAGCACCGGCUAACUCCGUGCCAGCAGCCGCGGUAAUU